rnacentral:rRNA from 1 species
AUACGUAGGGGGCAAGCGUUAUCCGGAUUUACUGGGUGUAAAGGGAGUGUAGGUGGCCGUGCAAGUCAGAUGUGAAAUCCCGGGGCUCAACCCCGUGACUGCAUUUGAAACUGCGUGGCUGGAGUGCAGGAGAGGUAAGCGGAAUUCCUAGUGGAGCGGUGAAAUGCGUAGAUAUGAGGAGGAACACCGGUGGCGAAGGCGGCUUACUGGAUAGUAAAGGACGCGGAGGCUCGAAAGCGUGGGGAGCAAACAGGAUAAGAGACCCUGGUAGUCCAUGCCGUAAACGAUGAGCACUAGGUGUCGGGGAGACAAUCCUCGGUGCCGCAGUUAACGCAUUAAGUGCUCCGCCUGGGGAGUACGUUCGCAAGAAUAAAACUCAAAGGAAUUGGCGGGG